rnacentral:rRNA from 1 species
CGCGGCCUAUCAGCUUGUUGGUGAGGUAACGGCUCACCAAGGCGACGACGGGUAGCCGGCCUGAGAGGGCGACCGGCCACACUGGGACUGAGACACGGCCCAGACUCCUACGGGAGGCAGCAGUGGGGAAUAUUGCACAAUGGGCGAAAGCCUGAUGCAGCGACGCCGCGUGAGGGAUGACGGCCUUCGGGUUGUAAACCUCUUUCAGCAGGGAAGAAGCGAAAGUGACGGUACCUGCAGAAGAAGCGCCGGCUAACUACGUGCCAGCAGCCGCGGUAAUACGUAGGGCGCAAGCGUUGUCCGGAAUUAUUGGGCGUAAAGAGCUCGUAGGCGGCUUGUCACGUCGGUUGUGAAAGCCCGGGGCUUAACCCCGGGUCUGCAGUCGAUACGGGCAGGCUAGAGUUCGGUAGGGGAGAUCGGAAUUCCUGGUGUAGCGGUGAAAUGCGCAGAUAUCAGGAGGAACACCGGUGGCGAAGGCGGAUCUCUGGGCCGAUACUGACGCUGAGGAGCGAAAGCGUGGGGAGCGAACAGGAUUAGAUACCCUGGUAGUCCACGCCGUAAACGGUGGGCACUAGGUGUGGGCAACAUUCCACGUUGUCCG